rnacentral:lncRNA from 1 species
GUCUUCUGUGGCUUUCCUAUGAGAUCAAGUGAAUACAAACCCCUGUAUCUCUAUCAAGAAACAUAGAAAUGCACAAAUCCUGGAACUGCUUCUCUUCGCAUUCUUCUGGUGGAAGUUACUGCCUAAUGGAAAGCAAGGGCCAAGGACAGUCACAGCAGUGGUGUCACCACUGCAUCCUCUUCAUCCUUACUGGAAUCCAACCAAAGAACCUACCCAACAGCCACAUCACUGGGACAAUUCCUUCUGACGUUGUUCAUGAGCAGGUAAAACCCAGAUUCAUAUCCUGAAAACACAACUUCAUCUUCCAGUAUGCAACUUUCUGGGCUACAUCUCUGCUAGGUGUCAUGGUUUUAUGAUUUUCGGUUAUUGGUAUUCCACAUCAUAACAUCAUGUAGUGUAUGUACCUGGUUCUCAAAAGAGAAGGAUUACUGCAUUCCCCAGGACACUUUGCUCCUCUGUUACCAUUUCUGGCCAGAGGGAAAAGAUAAAAGCUUGCAGAUCACGAGACCUCGUCCCUUCUCUUUCCGCCCGUCUCUCGUUCUGGCAGCACCUCGCUCUCCAGCCCUCUUAUCAUCGGUAGAAGAGUAAGGCCUACCUUGAUUUUGGACAUUCUCUCUCGCUGUAUUGGAUUUAUCAGCUUAAAUUGUAAUUAUAUUGUAUUAUAGUGUGUUGUUUUGCAUUCUGAUAUCUUAUUUAGUAAAUUAGUUUGUUUCUCCUCAGAUUGUUGCCGCUGUUUUUGCUCUCAGGCCCAUUUCCCUACCCUUUUUUCCUUUUUUUCCCGGGGUGUGGGUCCAUGGGUCCCCCGUCCCAUUCGUUACAGAACUGGGCCGAACGCCUGUAAACUGUUGACACUAGGAAAUCAGAGGUGCUCACAACACUGCU